rnacentral:lncRNA from 10 species
UAUCACACUCUGGGGACUGUGGUGGGGUAGGAGGAGGGGGGAGGGAUAGCAUUGGGAGAUAUACCUAAUGCUAGAUGACACAUUAGUGGGUGCAGCGCACCAGCAUGGCACAUGUAUACAUAUGUAACUAACCUGCACAAUGUGCACAUGUACCCUAAAACUUAGAGUAUAAUAAAAAAAAAAAAAGAAAGAAAAAGAAACUUCACAUGGGGCCACAUGUCUAAUAAAGGUGACUGAAUCCCAAAAUUAUAUUGGUAACAUGGAAAUUCCUGAUAGGGGAAGAAUAUUCCCAGAAGUGUGACCAGUUAGGGCCAAAAUAAAAGGUACAAUUUACCCAAUUAUUAUACCUAAGUACCCGGCCUUAUUAAAUAUAUGUUCCUCAAUAUCAAAUUGUACUAAAAAUCAGGAAACUAAGCUCCUAGUAGAGAACUGGUCAAAGGGAAGAUCUUUGUGGAGUCAGCAGUUUCCUCUGUCCUACAAUUUGGCAAAAUAAUCUCAUAAGCACAAGAAGGUUAAUAUGCUUGCAUUAAAAAUGUUAAGUUACUUAUAAUCCAAUUUAAAUGUAAGUUCAAAUACCUUAACAUGUUCACAUUACUUUUUUAAUUCACAAAAACGUUCUUAUCUAUCUUUAUUUUAAGAUGUUUUCCACAUACAUGCUUAGUGAAUUUUCUUUUAGGAGAUGUAAGAGAGUCUACAAAUCUUUAUUCUACUAUUUCCCAAAAUAUACCCAAUUACUGGCAAAAAAUGUUAUUAUUAAACUGAUGAGAAAAUAUAAAGGUUUAUUACUGGAUUAAAUAAGUUUUUCCAUAUGCUUGAAUUUUUUAUACACACAGUAUAUACUCUAUUAUAUGUAUACACAGAAUACAACUCUAUCAGUAUUGAACUUAGUUUGUCAUUCCAUAAAAUGGCCAUAGAUGGCCAGAUCAAGUAAUCCUACUCAUUUUACCCUGUAUUACUGAAAAUAAAAAUGGGGGGGGGGCAAAUAAAGACUUUAAUAUCUUUAAUGAUGUUUUUUAAGGGUUAGACUUUUAUUUUCUGACAUUUUUCUACACCUCUAAUGAAAUACAUUUCACAUAUCGUAAAACUUACCCAUUUAAAGAAUCCAGUUCAGUGUCUUUUGGUGAUUUAUUCAGAGUUUUGCAACCAUUACCACAAUCUAAUUUUAGAAUAGUCUCAUCACCCCAUACCCAUCAGCAGUCAUUCCCUCCUCCUCCCCACCCAACGUUCGUGACAAACACUAAUCUUCUUUCCCUCUCUAUGCAUUUGUCUAUGCUUAACUAUUUCACAUAAAUAGAAUCAUUACAAUAUGUGAUCUCUUGUGACUGGUUUCUUCCGCUUAGAAUGUUUUC